GACCGCGUAGCUCAGUUGGCAGAGCAUUGGGCUAGCAUUCGAAAGGUCGUAGGUUCGAUUCCCACCGUGGUCA
rnacentral:tRNA from 1 species